rfam:Glycine soja cultivar W05 scaffold9924_5, whole genome shotgun sequence.
UUCUUAUUGGAUUAUAACUGUCACGUGUCAUGUUCAUUGGAUGUCAACUCCAUGAAAGAUGAAAUACAUUAUUGCUUUCAUUGACCAACACGUGGUAGUUAUCAUCCAAUAAGAACGUGACACGUGGUAGUCAAAAUCA